CAGCCGCCGCGGUAAUACCGGCGGCCCGAGUGGCGGCCACUAUUAUUGGGCUUAAAGCGUCCGUAGCCGGGUUGGGUAGUCUCCCGGGAAAUCUGGCCGCUUAACGGUCAGAAUUCCGGGAGAUACUGCCAGCCUAGGGACCGGGAGAGGCCGAGGGUAUUCCCGGAGUAGGGGUGAAAUCCUAUAAUCCCGGGAGGACCACCUGUGGCGAAGGCGCUCGGCUGGAACGGGUCCGACGGUGAGGGACGAAGGCCAGGGGAGCAAACCGGAUUAGAUACCCGGGUAGUCCUGGCUGUAAACGAUGCGGACUUUGUGUCGGACAAGCUAUGAGCUUGUCCGGUGCCGGAGGGAAACCGUUAAGUCCGCCGCCUGGGGAGUACGCCCGCAAGGGUGAAACUUAAAGGAAUUGGCGGG
rnacentral:rRNA from 1 species